GACCCCGAAUCAGGUAGGAAUACCCGCUGAACUUAAGCAUAUCAUAA
rnacentral:rRNA from 1 species